GUCACUCUCUCUGAUGAGGAUGACGACUCUCUCUGCUCCACUCCAGAGGAUGAUGGUGAUGAUAAUGAUGAUGGUGGUCUUUGUUUUGGUGACACCUCUUCCUUCUCCAUGUGUACGUCUCAGACGUGAAAAUGUGAACAUGUCAAAUCCUCAUCUGGCCGAUCACAACAACACCAGUGCAGAGGGGUUCACUGAGAUUGCUGUGCGGAACAACACAGUAAAAAACAUGGGAACCCACAUGGGGAACAGCACGGAGCAUGCCAUGGGGAACAGCACCCCCACGCUUUUGAAGCCAGAAUCAGUGUAUGUAUCUGUCACCACAUGGUCUGAUUGGCCGAGAAAACACCAUCAGAAGAUUCAUGGGGCCACAGGUGCUCGGUGUGUCCUGGCCACCUGUGGGACAGCGAACCUAGUUGACAGAUUGCAGGGUGGAGAGGAGAAGGCUGGCGACGCCACCGCAGACCCCUUUGGUCCUGGGAAAAAGUGAAGGGAGGCACCUGUUACUACUUUAUCAUCUUCAUCAUCAUCAGCUCCACCUCACACUCACCUGUCUGAGAGAAAAACACAAGAAAACCUAACCUUCACACAUCUGAGGAUGCAAAGAAGUUAACUACAAUUCUCAAGAUCCAUCUUACCAACAAACAUCCAGUGACAGAGCUGCACGCCACCACAGGUGGAAACCAAAGAGAACCAUCUUCAGUCUCACCUGUUUGAGUCCAACUGUGGUCACAUGGUCCAGCACAUGAUUGACAGAGACUCGAUGACUUUCAGCUCCUCCCAGUAUGUAUUUACAUCUUAUACUUUUAUUUUGAAGGGGCCUGUCGCUGAUCACUUGAAGUUUUCCUGUCGCCUUUUACGUGUCAGUUUGUGUCUCUGACAUCAGAGACAGAAAUUAAACAAAGCUAUUAAUUAACAAAGUUUGUUGGUGUUUCUGUGGAGCUGGUCGGAGUCACACUGAGCAUGUGCAAAAUGCCUACCUGUAAAUGUGACAGUCUGAAAUGUGUCCAUGUAAAGAAAAUCUGUUUCCAAUAAAGUAUUAAAUAAAGUUUGACUCUCCCUGC
ensembl:lncRNA